UUCCGUUUUGAUAUUAUGUAUUAUCGUUGACAAAAGAAUGUAUCUACUAUGAAAAACACAGAUAUCGUUUACUCGUUUACGUUGCGCUCAUAACAAUGAAAUAUAUAUAAACCAUUGUAGAUUAAUACGCAAUAUAUUUUUGUAUGUAUUUUUGUAACAUUCUUUUGUCACCGACUAUACUUAUCUUGUUAUCAAAAAUACUCGUGCGCAUUUGGUAUAAACAAAUCAAUUGCCCAUUUAUAUUUUAACCAAAACGUUGAAAUUUCACAGUUCAAGUUCAUUCACUGAAUGUGCACUGUGGAGCAUUGUAUUUUGUGUCUUAAAAAUGAAUUUUUCUAUCACUUUCAUUACAGUGAUAUUUACAGCUUUUGGUUGUAUUUUGGCUGCAUCCAAUCGCCCAAAUGUUGUAAGAGAAUUUUUGAUUCAUCUUCUUCGAGAAAGCGAUGAAAAAUUGUUAAAGGGGGGGGUCAUCGCCCGUGCAAGACGAAGAAGAAGAUUUUCUGAAAGGGUGUUUUGAAAUCUAUGCGAAAAAAAAUUCGUAGUGAGAUCAAAUUUUUGGCGAGGUCUUCGAUUGAUAUUCACGCUUGGAAUGCGAUCACCCUCUAUGAUUACAACUCGAAAGGGCGAUAUUUUCCUGAUAUCAGUGAAUAUUUAAAUCGAUGUGAAAGUUUAUUCGAUGGCAAGGUGAACAUAUCGUUGCAACCAUUAAAUAAGUAUCGAAAUGAUUUUUCUCGUCCACUUCCCUCAACAAUGCUUGGAGCGAGAAAUUUAUGCGAAGAAUUGUGUGUAUUGCAAGCAAUUCGUGGGGCUGUUUUGCCAGAUUUUGAUCCAGCUAAAUAUGAACACAUUUUCAAGAUGACUUCAGUCAAAAUUUUGAAUACCGCCGAUGAUCCAGUUCUUUUGAAUGUUAUAUCGAAAAUGUGUGAAAAGAUGUUCGAUGUUCAUAUAAACUGUACAUUUGAACGGCACAACCAAAUGCUUGACCAAACAGAAAAGGUUUUAGUAGAAUUUCUACUCCAGACUACGGUCGAUAUUAAACAUCAUCUAAAAUACAGAGCAGACCAAGAAAGUGUGGACUUACCAAGCGGAUAUAUUGAAAGUGCGCUUGCAGCCCAAGGCGACGAAAUUUCAGCACAGAAUUUUAUA